UAGGGAAUCUUCGGCAAUGGACGGAAGUCUGACCGAGCAACGCCGCGUGAGUGAAGAAGGUUUUCGGAUCAUAAAGCUCUGUUGUAAGAGAAGAACGAGUGUGAGAGUGGAAAGUUCACACUGUGACGGUAUCUUACCAGAAAGGGACGGCUAACUACGUGCCAGCAGCCGCGGUAAUACGUAGGUCCCGAGCGUUGUCCGGAUUUAUUGGGCGUAAAGCGAGCGCAGGCGGCUAGAUAAGUCUGAAGUUAAAGGCUGUGGCUUAACCAUAGUACGCUUUGGAAACUGUUUAACUUGAGUGCAAGAGGGGAGAGUGGAAUUCCAUGUGUAGCGGUGAAAUGCGUAGAUAUAUGGAGGAACACCGGUGGCGAAAGCGGCUCUCUGGCUUGUAACUGACGCUGAGGCUCGAAAGCGUGGGGAGCAAAACAGGAUUAGAUACCCUGGUAGUCCACGCCGUAAACGAUGAGUGCUAGGUGUUAGACCCUUUCCGGGGUUUAGUGCCGCAGCUAACGCAUUAAGCACUCCGCCUGGGGAGUACGACCGCAAGGUUGAAACUCAAAUGAAUUGACGGGGGUCAUAGCUGUUUCCUG
rnacentral:rRNA from 1 species